rnacentral:rRNA from 1 species
GAUGAACGCUGGCGGCGUGCCUAACACAUGCAAGUCGAACGAAGCACCUUACCUGAUUCUUCGGAUGAAAGUUUGGUGACUGAGUGGCGGACGGGUGAGUAACGCGUGGGUAACCUGCCCUGUACAGGGGGAUAACAGCUGGAAACGGCUGCUAAUACCGCAUAAGCGCACGAGGAGACAUCUCCUUGUGUGAAAAACUCCGGUGGUACAGGGUGGGCCCGCGUCUGAUUAGCUGGUUGGCAGGGUAACGGCCUACCAAGGCAACGAUCAGUAGCCGGUCUGAGAGGAUGAACGGCCACAUUGGAACUGAGACACGGUCCAAACUCCUACGGGAGGCAGCAGUGGGGAAUAUUGCACAAUGGGGGAAACCCUGAUGCAGCAACGCCGCGUGAGUGAAGAAGUAUUUCGGUAUGUAAAGCUCUAUCAGCAGGGAAGAUAAUGACGGUACCUGACUAAGAAGCUCCGGCUAAAUACGUG